rnacentral:rRNA from 1 species
GACGAACGCUGGCGGCGUGCUUAACACAUGCAAGUCGAACGAAGUGGCGAACGGGUGAGUAACGCGUAAUCAACCUGCCCUUCAGAGGGGGACAACAGUUGGACCCGACUGCUAAUACCGCAUACUGAAGGCGGGGAUUGCGUUUGAUUAGCUAGUUGGGGGGGUAACGGCCCACCAAGGCGAUGAUCAGUAGCCGGUCUGAGAGGAUGAACGGCCACAUUGGGACUGAGACACGGCCCAGACGCCUACGGGAGGGAGCAGUGGGGAAGAUGCCGCAAUGGACGAAAGUCUGACGGAGCAACGCCGAGGGAGUGAGGACGGCCUUCGGGUUGUAAAGCUCUGUUAAUCGGGACGCGGUACCGGAAUAGAAAGCAACGGCUAACUACGUGCCAGCAGCCGCGGUAAUUC